rnacentral:rRNA from 1 species
UACGGAGGGUGCAAGCGUUGCUCGGAAUUAUUGGGCGUAAAGGGUAGGUAGGUGGUCUCGUUUGUCUGGGGUGAAAGCCUUGAGCUUAACUCAAGAAGUGCCCCAGAAACGGCGAGACUAGAGUACUGGAGAGGGUCGUGGAAUUCCCGGUGUAGCGGUGAAAUGCGUAGAUAUCGGGAAGAACACCAAAGGCGAAAGCGCUCUGCUGGGCCGAAACUGACACUGAGAGACGAAAGCUAGGGGAGCGAAUGGG